AGCUUUGCGCAGUGGCAGUAUCAUAGCCAAUGAGGUUUAUCCGAGGCGCAAUUAUUGCUAAUAGAGUCUAAUCUAAUUCACUAUAGGAUUUAUUUCACCAACUUUAUUAGUAUGUUCAGAAUGAAGCAAAGUUU
ensembl:snRNA U4 U4 spliceosomal RNA